UACGUAGGCAGCGAGCGUUGUUCGGAGUUACUGGGCGUAAAGCGUGCGUAGGCGGUGUCUUAAGUUUGUUGUGAAAUCUCCCGGCUUAACCGGGAGGGUGCGGCGAAUACUGAGAUGCUGGAGUGCCGGAGAGGUAAGCGGAAUUCCGGGUGUAGCGGUGAAAUGCGUAGAUAUCAGGAGGAACACCUGCGGUGUAGACGGCUUACUGGACGGUAACUGACGCUGAGGCACGAAAGCGUGGGUAGCAAACAGG
rnacentral:rRNA from 1 species